UCAUCAGGCCUAAAUACCCUAAAGACACCAGAUCCCAUCUGAUUUUGGAAGCUAAGUAGGGUCAGCUCUGGCUAGUUCUUGGAUGAGAGAUAACCAACAAAUACUGGGAUUAUGGA
rnacentral:rRNA from 1 species